CCAAUAGCGUAUAUUAAAGUUGUUGCAGUUAAAAAGCUCGUAGUUGAAUUUCGGGGUUAGUAAGUUGGUCAUGCCUCCGGUAUGCACUGGCUUUACUGAUUCCUCCUUCUUGAUGAACUGUAAUGUCAUUAAUUUGGUGUUGCAGGGAAUCAGGACUGUUACUUUGAAAAAUUAGAGUGUUUAAAGCAGGCAUACGCUUGAAUACAUUAGCAUGGAAUAAUGAAAUAGGACGUUUGAUCCUAUUUUGUUGGUUUCUAGGAUUGACGUAAUGAUUAAUAGGGAUAGUUGGGGGCAUUAGUAUUCAAUUGUCAGAGGUGAAAUUCUUGGAUUUAUUGAAGACUAACUACUGCGAAAGCAUUUGCCAAGGAUGUUUUCAUUAAUCAAGAACGAAAGUUAGGGGAUCGAAGACGAUCAGAUACCGUCGUAGUCUUAACCAUAAACUAUGCCGACUAGGGAUCGGAUGAUGUUAUUUUAAUGACUCAUUCGGCGCCUUACGAGAAA
rnacentral:rRNA from 1 species